UGGGGAAUCUUGCACAAUGGGGGAAACCCUGAUGCAGCGACGCCGCGUGAGCGAUGAAGGUUUUCGAAUCGUAAAGCUCUGUCCUAUGGGAAGAUAAUGACGGUACCAUGGGAGGAAGCCCCGGCUAACUACGUGCCAGCAGCCGCGGUAAUACGUAGGGGGCGAGCGUUGUCCGGAAUUACUGGGCGUAAAGGGUUCGCAGGCGGCAUGGCAAGUCCGAUGUAAAAGGCGAAGGCUCAACCUUCGUAAGCAUCGGAAACUGUCAAGCUUGAGUGAAGGAGAGGCAAGUGGAAUUCCUAGUGUAGCGGUGGAAUGCGUAGAUAUUAGGAGGAAUACCGGUGACGAAGGCGACUUGCUGGACUUCAACUGACGCUGAGGAACGAAAGCGUGGGUAGCAAACAGG
rnacentral:rRNA from 1 species